rnacentral:tRNA from 2 species
GGGCCGUUAGCUCAGUUGGUAGAGCAGGAGACUCUUAAUCUCAAGGUCGAAGGUUCGAACCCUUCACGGCCCA